rnacentral:rRNA from 1 species
CUGUCACUAUCGUGAUGGCGAAUUGUAGUCUCGAGAAGCGUCUUCACGGUGGAUCCUGCCUGCCCAAGUUGCUUGGAACAGCACAUCGGAGAGGGUGACAAUCCCGUAUGUGGCAGGUGGGACUGCUCAUGAUGCGCUUUCCAUGAGUCGGGUUGCUUGGGAAUGCAGCCCAAAAUUGGUGGUAGACUCCAUCUAAAGCUGAAUACUGGCACGAGACCGAUAGCGAACAAGUACCGUGAGGGAAAGAUGAAAAGAACUUUGAAAAGAGAGUUAAAAAGUGCGUGAAACCGUUAGAGGGGAAGCGGAUGAAGUUAGCAAUGCUCCCGUGAGAUUCAGGUGUUCUAUCUGGUUAGACGUGUGGCCGGCGGAUCCGAAUGGACUGUCACCAUUCGACUUGACCAGGUACUCACCGCACUUCUCGCAGGGGUGCGUCAACAGCUGCUGGAUCAAAGAUGUCGUCGUCUGUCGCCUCGUGUGAUGGAUUGGCGCGCUCGCGAGCUACACGGCACCGUCUGUGGAAGGUAGGUGUUUGACCUCGGUCGGGCACUGUUAUAGCCACUGGUGUCCCAGCUCGUAUCUGGCAGAGGAGCCGGCUGACGACUGGCUUUCUAGUCGGCGGCGUUCAGUCGGUGCGGUGCGUGCUCUUCGCUUGUCGAGCGAGGGGCUGGCGUCCUGUCGCGUUCACAACUCCUAGUCGUCUGCGGUGCACUGCGUGCAGUUCGCUGCAGAUGGACAAAGAGGCGCCCAGUGCACGCACACCACGUGCCAAGGUUGUUGGCGGCCAUAUGGCUUCAUCCGACCCGUCUUGAAACACGGACCAAGGAGUCUAACAUGUGCGCAAGUCUUGGGGUGACCGAAACCCAAGGGCACAAUGAAAGUGAAGGUCGCUGCACUCGGCCCGCCCACCUUCCAGUGGCGCGUGCUGGCUGUACGGCUGAGGUGAGAUCGCCUCUGGACGUUCGGCGUCUGAUGGUGCGCAUCAUCGACCGACCUAUUCUACUCCUAGAAAGGUUUGAGUAAGAGCGUACAUGAUGGGACCCGAAAGAUGGUGAACUAUGCCUGAGUAGGGUGAAGCCAGAGGAAACUCUGGUGGAAGCUCGUAGCGAUUCUGACGUGCAAAUCGAUCGUCAAACUUGGGUAUAGGGGCGAAAGACUAAUCGAACCAUCUA